rnacentral:rRNA from 1 species
AUUGAACGCUGGCGGAAUGCUUUACACAUGCAAGUCGAACGAUGAAGCCUAGCUUGCUAGGUCGAUUAGUGGCGAACGGGUGAGUAAUAUAUCGGAACGUAUCCAAUAAUGGGGGAUAACUAGUCGAAAGAUUGGCUAAUACCGCAUACGUCCUACGGGAGAAAGCUGGGGAUCGUAAGACCUGGCGUGAAGGGAGCGGCCGAUAUCUGAUUAGCUAGUUGGUGAGGUAAAGGCUCACCAAGGCGACGAUCAGUAGCUGGUCUGAGAGGACGACCAGCCACACUGGAACUGAGACACGGCCCAGACUCCUACGGGAGGCAGCAGUGGGGAAUUUUGGACAAUGGGCGAAAGCCUGAUCCAGCCAUUCCGCGUGAGUGAAGAAGGCCUUCGGGUUGUAAAGCUCUUUCGCAAGGGAAGAACACUUACUUAAUAACACUAAGUGAGGUUGACGGUACCUUGAUAAGAAGCACCGGCUAACUACGUGCCAGCCGCCGCAGUAACAC